rnacentral:rRNA from 1 species
GACGAACGCUGGCGGCGUGCUUAACACAUGCAAGUCGAACGGAAAGGCCCAGCUUGCUGGGUGCUCGAGUGGCGAACGGGUGAGUAACACGUGGGUGAUAUGCCUCUAACUUCGGGAUAAGCUUGGGCAACUGGGUCUAAUACCGGAUAGGACAAUCGUUUAGUGUCGGUUGUGGAAAGUUUUUUCGGUUAGGGAUGAGCCCGCGGCCUAUCAGCUUGUUGGUGGGGUAAUGGCCUAACAAGGCGUCGACGGGUAGCCGGCCUGAGAGGGUGGCCGGCCACAUUGGGACUGAGAUACGGCCCAGACGCCUACGGGAGGGAGCAGUGGGGAAUAGUGCACAAUGGGCGCAAGCCUGAUGCAGCGACGCCGCGUGGGGGAUGAAGGCCUUCGGGUUGUAAACCUCUUUCGACAGGGACGAAGCUGUGGUGACGGUACCUGUAUAAGAAGCACCGGCUAACUACGUG